CGCAAAAGAACAUAACAUAAUUAUAAUAAUUUAAAAAAAAAGUUGAUUCUACAUCAUGAUUUAAUGAUACAACCGAAACCCAACCUUACUAAAAAAACCCAAUAUUACCUGUCAAACAAAUACGUCAACCCCAACCAACGAAUAAAGAUCGAAUAACAAGAAACAACGUUGAAACAUGGAGCAAAUUAGAAGCAAGAGGGGACGAUAUGUCAGCUAAAAUAAAGUUACAAAAUAAAGAACAAGAAUCGAAAAAGGAAUGAAAGAAAAACAAAAUAUAUCAGAUUGCCAAAAGUAGGAGAAGAAUGGCGGCGUGAAAAAGGG
rnacentral:lncRNA from 1 species